UACGUAGGGUGCAAGCGUUGUCCGGAAUUAUUGGGCGUAAAGAGCUCGUAGGCGGUCUGUCGCGUCGAAUGUGAAAACCCGGGGCUCAACCCCGGGCCUGCAUUCGAUACGGGCAGACUAGAGUUCGGUAGGGGAGAAUGGAAUUCCUGGUGUAGCGGUGGAAUGCGCAGAUAUCAGGAGGAACACCGAUGGCGAAGGCAGUUCUCUGGGCCGUAACUGACGCUGAGGAGCGAAAGCGUGGGGAGCGAACAGG
rnacentral:rRNA from 1 species